GAUGAACGCUGGCGGCGUGCCUAAUACAUGCAAGUCGAGCGAACAGAUGAGGAGCUUGCUCCUCUGACGUUAGCGGCGGACGGGUGAGUAACACGUGGAUAACCUACCUAUAAGACUGGGAUAACUUCGGGAAACCGGAGCUAAUACCGGAUAAUAUAUUGUACCGCAUGGUUCAAUAGUGAAAGACGGUUUUGCUGUCACUUAUAGAUGGAUCCGCGCCGCAUUAGCUAGUUGGUAAGGUAACGGCUUACCAAGGCAACGAUGCGUAGCCGACCUGAGAGGGUGAUCGGCCACACUGGAACUGAGACACGGUCCAGACUCCUACGGGAGGCAGCAGUAGGGAAUCUUCCGCAAAGGGCGAAAGCCUGUCGGAGCAACGCCGCGUGAGUGAUGAAGGUCUUCGGAUCGUAAAACUCUGUUAUUAGGGAAGAACAAAUGUGUAAGUAACUAUGCACGUCUUGACGGUACCUAAUCAGAAAGCCACGGCUAACUACGUG
rnacentral:rRNA from 1 species